AGAUGCGGUCCUAAAAAGGAAAAAAAAAUAUGCACAAACCUAAGUAAGUAUAGAAGAAAUGUAAAUACUUAAACAUUCAAAUCAUUUUUUUAUAAGUUGGUAGAAGUUAUGGUUCUGAAAUUAUUAAAACUUAAAAUUUCAUAGAGGGGGGAAAAAGGCCGCUGACCUCAGGACUGUGUUGGGUGUUCACAGGUCAAUUGACACAAGGCACAUGGAACAGUACCUGGUACACAGCAAGUGCGCGGGGCAUUUGAGCUAUUAAUACUGGCAAGCCCCGGGCCUCAAUUUCCUCAUCUGCAAGAUGGGGCCACCGUGCUCUCCUCUUAGGGAAGGACUCCGUGGGAUCAGCAGGCACAGCCUUUUAACACAGGGGCUCACACAUAGCCACGUGCCCGAGUGGCAUUAGCAGACUCUGACCUUGGGACCCAGAUGUUAAAAUGGUUUUCUUUCCUACCCAAGUUUAGCUGAGACGUGGAAAACAACACAGGCAGUGUCACUCCCUAUUGCCAGCUGCCUCCCAGGUCACUGUGCUGGACGUGCUGAGGUCACAAGGGGCGCUCUGGUCAGCGUGUGUCCAAUCCCACUCGGGUGUAAACCGGGCAGAAGAAAGGCUGCUCUAGAGAGAGCUGUUGGUGGACGGCGGGUUCCUCGGGGUGGGGUGGGGGGCCUCACCCCAGCACCCCUCCUCGUGGUGGCCGCCCUGCAGCCAUGCCAGCCCCUCUCUGAGGGCAUUGCCUUGUGCUUACCGGGUGCUUGAGGCUCAGGGAAUGUUCACCGCUGUUCUGAGCUCAGAUGUGCGUGGCCCUCAGGUCAGCAUCCUGGCUGUGCUGCCAGCCUCCUCGGCAUGUGGACAACGUCCUUAGCGGAGAACUGUGCGUGGUAUCUUGUUUAUGUAAAAAAACCUUUUUAUUAUGGCUGAUUUCCAUUGUUCUGUCAAUUUCUGCUGUGCAGCACAGUGACCCAGCCAAACAUCUGCACGCACGCUUUUCCUCACAGUCUGUCAUCACGUCCCAUCACGAGUGACUGGACAUAGUCCCCCGUGCGGUACAGCGGGACCUCGUUCUCUAACCAUCCUACAUGCAACAGUUUGCAUCUAUAAACCCCGACGCCCAGUCCCUCCCCCGCCCCCUUGUCUUGUUUAUUAUUAAUUGUGGCAACACACACAUACAAUUUACCCCCUUGACCGUUUUUUAGGUGUACAGUUCCGUGCCGUUAACACCACACGGCAUCCACGUCGUUGUGCAACCGGCACUGCCACCUAUCUCUGGAACUUUCUCAUCUUGCACAACAGAAACUCCAUAUGCGUGAAACCACAAUUCCCCAUUCCCCUCUCCGCAGGCCCCUGCCCACCCCCAGCAACAACCAUUCUUACUUUCGGUCUCUAUGCCUCGGACUAGUCCAGGGAACCUCAUACAAGUGGCAUCAUACAGUGUUUGUCUUUUUUUGGGUCUGGCUUAUUAUACUUUGCAUCCUGAACUCAAGGCGCAUCCAUGUGGCACAGGUGGCAGCAUUUCCUUCCUUUUGAAGGCAUUUCUCCCCAUUCUUUCCUGGUCCUUCCACCCAGAGGUGUCCCAGAAUUACAGCCCCGUCAGGGCUGCCCACAGCGUCAUCCACACACAGGGAAAUCCUGCAAGGAGGUCGCGUGUGGUCCAUUUUGGAGGAUUUCUCUUCAACUGCCUAAAAUAGUACGAUUCCAAGUGCUUAAAGAGAGAAAGGUUUUUCAUCUGGACAAGGCCGUUUUCCAGGAAAUGAAGUAUUUCCACGCACAAAGAAGGUAAGAGUAUGAGGAGCUUUCUCAAGUGUCAGAGUGAACCUGGACUUCAAAGUGACCUUCGAGAAGGUCCUUUACUAUGUCUUCAGGGGCAAGUGUUUACAGGUAUAACCUUGGGCUUUUCUGAUUCCUUUAAUCUGGGUUUGGCCCAUCACAAGAUGCGGUGGGGACAAGAGGGGGACUCAGAGGCUGUGGCCAGGGUGCUUCCACUUGGCCACUAGCUGAUGUCCUCAUCGUGGGUUAGUGGCAGGGGCACAUGCCCUGAUUUUCAGUGAUCACUUGGUUUUGACUGCGGAUCUGGCUGUGAGCAAUGGAAAAUGAGCUCCCACUGGAACCUCUUCUGGUGCCUCUGAUCACGGAGGACCUCUCACUGCGGGGCCUCCGAGAAUAAGACUGGCAAGCUGGCCAGGUGGAUUGGGUGAUCAACACAGCACUUAGGAUGUUGUUAUGUGCACAGGGAAGGGAUUUUCCUGUAAACAGCCUGACAUUUCCUGUAAAAACGAAGGAAGGGGAGGCUAGCUUGGCUUCCGAAGCUGUCCUCCUGACUCACAGCUCUGCGCCACAGGAAGUCUGCCACAUGGGCACGUUCCCUCACCCCCUGAUGGGGAUGGAGGAGGAGAAUCCAACUCCCCCAACCCCCUGACAUGAAGCCAAUGAUCCUACAGGAACUACGGGUGUGAGAAACGUUCGCAGGGUUGGCGGAAUUGAUGGGCCUGAUGGCCAAGGAACCCAGAGAGGCCUGAGUCCUGGCCACAAUCCAUCUUCCUUCCCUGGGGAUCUGAGGGAGACGGACGUCCUAGGAAGAAGCGCCUUCCUUGAUAACUGGACAGGGGUCCUGAAAAUCCGGCCUGAGGAUCCAGAAAGCUGGGUCCUACAGAGAGUCCCUUUGGGCACCAGUUUCACCCCACCUCACCCUCUCCACCGCCAAGGCCCAGCCACACGGCACAUCACUGUGGCUGCCUGGAGGGCAGGGAGAAGAAGGAAGACAAAGGCGCCCGCUCUUACCCCUUCUCUUCAACCUUGUGCACAGAGCAAAAAAACAAAAAAUAAAAUGUGUAAAAAUUUGUUAAUGAAAAAA
ensembl:lncRNA